rnacentral:sRNA from 1 species
UUAAUUUGUAGAUACCUAUAUAUGGUUGUUGGUGCAGGAAUUGGCACCUCCGACAAUACCGGUCUAAACCGGGAAAUAUAUGAAUAAAAUCGAGAAUUCGAUUUAACCAGGAUACCCCGGUUAGCCUGUUAAUGGGCCUAAGUUAUGAGUUUGCCAGAAGACCUAAUUUGACAGCUGAGAUCGUCUAGCCGACUUCUUAAACUUCAGAAAGAGAAGACUUCCAUUUCGAAAGAAGAGGAUCUUACGAAGAAUAAAAAUAAUGAAUAUAUAGAUCCUUAAUAAUUAGAAAUUUAUCAUAUUUAGACAUGAUCAAAUCAUUGUAUAAAUAGAGGGGGUUUGUCCUCUAUUACAUCCAUCUUUUAACCUAAUACAAGAGACUACUUUUCACAGAGCAAAACCCUAGCUUUCUACUCAAGCAACCUUGUUCAUCUUCUUUUGAUUACUCGUGAGCUAAGAGAGAAGUGAAUUUGUCUAACCCCUUAGUAUAAAUUCAUUGUUUGAUUUACAGAAUCAACAAUGGUCAAAAUAGUUUUUUGCUGCUUGUGGCUACUAAUUACCCAACGACGGUCUCGCUAUAAUAAUAGCGAUGAUACGCUAUUUUUUUAAUAUUAGUAAUGUAAGUAUAAUUUGUUUUUUUUGGGUUGAAAAAAUGCA